GUGUGCUCUUGCCAUCUGUGAAAUUAGAAGGAUCACAAGGGACAGUAGAGACUGGAAAACAAAAUAAAGGACAGGGAAGCUAGAAAUGGAAAAAGUGGGUGGAAUUUAUCAAAGUGAAUACAAAUGUUAAAACACAUUAGAGAAAAUGAUGUGGAAAUCAGAAAAGGAGAUUCAGCAUAUGUGUAUUUGAAUCUUAGAAGAAGAAAUAGAAUGAGGCAACAGAUACAAAGGUAUAACCCAAGGUAAUUAUUUCUGACAUAAAAAUAAAUACACACACUCA